rnacentral:rRNA from 1 species
CCAGACCCUACGGGAGGCAGCAGUGGGGAAUAUUGCACAAUGGGGGAAACCCUGAUGCAGCAACGCCGCGUGAGUGAGGAAGUAUUUCGGUAUGUAAAGCUCUAUCAGCAGGGAAUAGAAAAGAAGGUACCUGAAAAAGAAGCCCCGGCUAACUACGUGCCAGCAGCCGCGGUAAUACGUAGGGGGCAAGCGUUAUCCGGAUUUACUGGGUGUAAAGGGAGCGUAGACGGCAGUGCAAGUCUGGAGUGAAAGGCGGGGGCUCAACCCCCGGACUGCUCUGGAAACUGUACGGCUGGAGUGCGGGAGAGGUAAGUGGAAUUCCUAGUGUAGCGGUGAAAUGCGUAGAUAUUAGGAGGAACACCAGUGGCGAAGGCGGCUUACUGGACUGUAACUGACGUUGAGGCUCGAAAGCGUGGGGAGCAAACAGGAUUAGAUACCCGCGUA